CAGAGGGCCUGCCUGGCAGAAGAUAAGUGUUGUGCCCCAGGCCUACUUGUCUUGGGGUGGGGGUAGGCUGUAAGUCCCCACUCCAGCCUGGUCAGGCAGGGAGUCAUCCAGGCUGAGCCCAUUGUCCAAGAGCCUGGGCUGAGAGAGAGUCAUAAGGUGGGGUCUGAGGCUGGCCCUGCCCGUCACGGGCGUCAGAACCCGAGGUCUGUCCUGCCUCCUUCCUUCCUGCCCCUCCUCUACCUCAUAGGUGGGGCACAUGGUCCCUUU
rnacentral:lncRNA from 1 species